AGGAACAACAGCAGUGGAGGCGGCCAGCUCUGGAGCCCUGGAUUCAGCUCCUGCAGUAACUACGGAGCUCUCUGUCUGCAGGGCUUGUAUGCUCUGGGAGCGC
rnacentral:pre_miRNA from 1 species